GAGAAUGUAGCUCAGUGGUAGAGCACAUGCUUAGCAUUCAUGAGGCCCUAGGUUUGAUCCCUAGCACCCUAA
rnacentral:tRNA from 1 species